GUCACCAGCGAGCACCUGUGGAGGUCGGGGAUAGGGUAAGGGGCUGCUCUGUUGUUGCCCCACCUUUGCAGUCCUGGCGCCACAGGCCGCUAAGCGCUAGGAUGACAGAUGCGCAGCGUCAACACGGGCUGCAGAGGAGCGUUCUGCACACCUUGGAGCACUCUGGCUCGGCGGGCAGCCGUUAGACUCCCACUUCUGCAGGGACCGAAGCUUGGCUUGCUGGUCCAGGCCACACCACAGAUACAUACUCAACUACAACAAGGUCUCACAGCACAUCGUUAUCAACUGUGGCAUUCUACUUUCAGCUCCACACAGCUUAUUCCCUGAUGGCUCCAUUCCUCAACCUGCAGGGAAAGAAUCAGUGUCUUCGGUUUGGGCAAGCGCAGAAGGCUAGAGGUGUUAAACGGCCUGCCCAAGUUCAACCCACAGCAGAGCGGGGCGCCUGGUGCUUGCUUCGGCUCUCGGCAAGCAGGUGAGAGACUGGGGAACUGGCUCCGUUCCAUCUGGGGAUUCCUCAGCCAGGUGGGUCUGGUCUCCGAGCCUGACUUGAACGUGUGCACCAGGCCCAGAGGAACUAACAACGCAGGGGUGAGUCACCCUGGCUCAUUGCAGCAGGAGACCCCCUCCUCCCUGCCACUUGGGCCAAGGCCUGGUUGCCCAGCAACGAGACAUAAUAUAUAUAAAUAAAAUGCAGCUUCUC